UAUACAAGGUGCUGCAUGGUUGUCGUCAGCUCGUGCCGUGAGGUGUCGGGUUAAGUCCCAUAACGAGCGCAACCCUAUCAUUAGUUGCCAUCAGGUCAAGCUGGGGACUCUAAUGAAACUGCCUACGCAAGUAGUGAGGAAGGUGGGAUGACGUCAAAUCAGCACGGCCCUUACGUCCGGGGCGACACACGUGUUACAAUGGGUGGUACAAAGGGCAGCUACCUGGCGACAGGAUGCUAAUCUCGAAAACCGCUCUCAGUUCGGAUCGGAGUCUGCAACUCGACUCCGUGAAGCUGGAUUCGCUAGUAAUCGCGCAUCAGCCACGGCGCGGUGAAUACGUUCCCGGGCCUU
rnacentral:rRNA from 1 species